rnacentral:rRNA from 1 species
AUUGAACGCUGGCGGCAUGCCUUACACAUGCAAGUCGAACGGUAGAGGGGGCAACCCCUCGAGAGUGGCGAACGGGUGAGUAAUGCAUCGGAACGUGCCCAGUAGUGGGGGAUAGCCCGGCGAAAGCCGGAUUAAUACCGCAUGAGACCUACGGGUGAAAGGGGGGGAUCGCAAGACCUCUCGCUAUUGGAGCGGCCGAUGUCAGAUUAGGUAGUUAGUGGGGUAAAGGCCUACCAAGCCGACGAUCUGUAGCUGGUCUGAGAGGACGACCAGCCACACUGGGACUGAGACACGGCCCAGACUCCUACGGGAGGCAGCAGUGGGGAAUUUUGGACAAUGGGCGAAGGCCUGAUCCAGCCAUGCCGCGUGCGGGAAGAAGGCCUUCGGGUUGUAAACCGCUUUUGUCAGGGAAGAAAUCCUUUGAGCUAAUACCUCGGGGGGAUGACGGUACCUGAAGAAUAAGCACCGGCUAACUACGUGCCAGCCGCCGCAGUAA